rnacentral:rRNA from 1 species
GGAAUCUUCGGCAAUGGACGAAAGUCUGACCGAGCAACGCCGCGUGAGUGAAGAAGGUUUUCGGAUCGUAAAACUCUGUUGUUAGAGAAGAACGUUGGUGAGAGUGGAAAGCUCAUCAAGUGACGGUAACUACCCAGAAAGGGACGGCUAACUACGUGCCAG